AAUCAACGCUGGCGGCGUGCCUAACACAUGCAAGUCGAGCGGGAAAGGGGGCUUCGGCCCCUGAGUAUAGCGGCGGACGGGUGAGUAACACGUGGGUAAUUUGCCCUUGGGUGUGGAAUAACCCAGGGAAACUUGAGCUAAUACCGCAUGACAUCCCCUUCACACACGAGUCGGGGAUCAAAGCCGGGGACCCUUCGGGGCCUGGCGCCUGAGGAGAAGCCCGCGCCCGAUUAGCUAGUUGGNGAGGUAAUGGCUCACCAAGGCUUCGAUCGGUAGCCGGCCUGAGAGGGCGGACGGCCACACUGGGACUGAGACACGGCCCAGACUCCUACGGGAGGCAGCAGUGGGGAAUUUUGUCAAUGGGGGAAACCCUGAACAAGCAACG
rnacentral:rRNA from 1 species